rnacentral:rRNA from 1 species
UCUAAACGACUCUCGGCAACGGAUAUCUCGGCUCUCGCAUCGAUGAAGAACGUAGCGAAAUGCGAUACUUGGUGUGAAUUGCAGAAUCUCGUGAACCAUCGAGUCUUUGAACGCAAGUUGCGCCCGAAGCCAUUAGGUUGAGGGCACGCCUGCCUGGGCGUCUC